AUGCUAGGUUGUGUCACCUUCAUCCUCGCUGCCCUGCUCCCUGCCUGCCAGACAGCGCUCACCAUGGACCAGCCAACUGUCUCCCACACCAAACGGGCUGGGUCAUCGGCAUCAUUUCUCUGCAAACCUUCUGACCAAAGCACCACCUACAUCCACUGGUAUCGCCAGCUGCCCGAGAAGGCUCCCCAGCGCCUGCUGUACUGUAACCUGGCCACACUUCAAACUAAGCUGGAUGCAGGAGCCAGCUCUGUUAAAUUUUCUACUUACAAGACCAUGAAUCAAAGCUGUACCCUGAAAGUACAGAAACUGAGCAUGAGUGAUACUGGCACCUAUUACUGUGCCAGCUGGAACUCCACAGUGUCACAGUUCCCCUCGUCCCUCACACAAAAACCACCAUCUGUGGUCACCAGGAGCACGGCCUGUUCCCCACAGCUCCAGCAGUGA